UUCCGCUCUCCUCUGUACAGAUUCCUUAUCCUUCCCCUUCCGUCCUGUGUGAAGUGAGCUCGAGCUGGAAAAGAACUCAAGCGGCGGAAGCUGAGCGGAGACCUCUGGUUGUGCCGUCUUGGUCCCGUUCCUCCGGCCUCCGGUCUCUGCUCCUCCCACGCCGGCGUGUUUUCCCCUUGCUACUCAUACUGGCUGUAGCCUGGAUGGUCUCGGCGGAAAGCAGCGCGUGAAUCGGGAGGAGGUGCCUAGCGGGGCUAGCGCUGGUCUCACUCCCCGCGGCGGCGAGGUGGAGGAUACCACGGCGGCUAGGCGCAGCGUCGGCGAGGCGGCCAUGCCUGCGGAGGCGAGGCGCCGGACUCAGAAAGUACCAUAGAGACUAUAAGGAGGACCUCGUCGCUUACCUCAUCUGCUGGUGCAAGCUCAAGGAGAAACAGAGGUGUUUCUAUAAAUUUUGCAAAGUGUUCCUGUACAUCUAGGCUGAUGGCAUACCUGAUGAAGCACAUAUGAAGGGGAUGACAGGAUUGGAAGAAUUACCACAAUCUGUUCAAAAGCAAUUGCGAAGCAACUAUUAUGAUCCAUCAGGAAAAAACAGUCAGAUUUCUUACUGUGCUUGCGUGAGACCCAUGGCCAUCAUCAUGCCAUUCAUUACUAGAAGAAGCCAUCAGCUACUUGUGUUGAUUGCUGCACUAUUCAAUUGGUUCCUUCACGGUUCAAUCGGAGGAUUAUUCAACUAGAGGAUAAUUUUCCUGUGCU